AAGGUUUUAUGUUAAUUAAACACGUAUCCUUCAAAGUUACAAAUAUAGGUGCCAGUCUUGUAAACCUUA
rnacentral:tRNA from 1 species